GUCGCCGUGGGCGCGCACCGCGGCAGAAAAAGCCCUCUGUUUGCCCCGAAGUGCACGAGCGGCGGGACGCUGCCGCUCUGCCGCAGGCGCUGUGCUGUACCCCUGCUAAUCUUCCUAAGGCUUGUCCCAACCCUCUGUCAAUGGGAGCCCCGGCGAGAUAACCGUGUCCCCUCCCUCCUGUCGCUGUCGCAGGAGAAAACGCGAGCCUGUGGUGCUGCCGGCUCUCCUCAGGCGGCUCCCGGCCCGUUCCGGGUUUGCGAGACACCCCCAUCCCUACGCAGGUUUUAGACGCCCUGAAGGACUCCGUAAAGCCCCCGCCGAUCCUCACUCCCGGAGGGAGACGCGACGGAUCGCACCGUCGGGAGGCGCCGGGAGCGCCGUGCAAGGGAUGCGCCGCCGGCCGGGGGAAGACCCUGGUGGCGAGGGACACCUCGGCGCGGAUGGGGUCCCCUCCAGCUGCCUGCCAAGCGACACUUCACCGUGAGAGCCAGGCUCCUCGUGUCUGCGUGCAUAUUUGUGUAUUUAGGUGCCCUUACAGCUCAGAUUUAAUUAGGAUUAAUUAGGUACAUCAGGAUCUGCGUGAAACAUAAGCACCUAUUUAACAUGCAUUGGUAGAAAGCAUUUGUUUCAGGCUCUUGCUUGAAUUUAAUCUACCCUUCUGUGUCUCUCUGCAAGCAAUAGUAAAGAGCUGCUGCCUUGAUGCAUUCAGUUCUCUCCAGUGGGAGUUCACGUGUGCUUUCUUCCUCGAGAGGACAGCUCGGAGGACAGGAAGGUCUGAGGAGUAUGAAGGCAAUGGUCAGUGCUCUCCUUUCGUAGGGGUGAACGAAGCCCUCUCUGGACUACCCUACUGCAAGUGCCCCACUACAGUUGUCUGUGAAGUAGAAAUCAAAAGAGGCAGAGGCAGGGGCUAGAAGUCCUUCAAAAAUUGAGAAGUGAGAAAGGAAGGAAAGGCAAGUUAGUUCUCGAGAAGCAAGUUAACUUUGCCCAAGAGAAGAAGAGGAAGAAGAGAGGGAGUUGAGAAAGAGAAGUUUUGAAAAGGGAAUGGGUGGUAAAAAAAUAAUGUGUCUUGGGAGAACUAACAGGGAGAUACUGUGGUCUAAGAAAGGAGAUGAGAUGGUCUGGGGAGAGUGGUCACUCGGAAUUUACAGGAGUUUCAUCUGAACAAGACUAAGAAUAUUGUAACAAAGAUGUGGACCACUACUUUUUCCAUGGUGGAAAUCCAGUUACCAGGACUUUGACCACCAACUAUUUUCAUUUGUGGGAGUGGAAUGGCAAAAUUUGAGACCAGACUUCAUAAAACCUGAGCUUCAUGGAUUCUUCCUGGGCAUAUUUUCACAAGCUUCAGAGAUGAUGAGGAGGAUUGGACUUCAUCUGUGGGUAUUACAAUGGCUGGGUACAUUUAGCUUGAACUGCAUGUUCUAGGAAAUUCAGCUGCUGUGGAAAUCUGCACAUUCAAGCACGAAAGAUAUUGAAGAACCAGAAUAACAGGCUGUCAGGGACCUCAGAAAGUCAUCAAGGGCUCAUGCACUUUCCUCCUGACAGGGUGCUACAGACAUUUCCUUGGAUAAUUUUGUGAGAGCAAUGCUCUGCAGAGUCUGGAGAAGAGGGAGGGAAAGAAGGAGGACAGACAUUAGCAGUGUAUUCUGUGUCCUUGGCCGAUAGAGAGCUACAGAGUGUGACUGAGAAACACAAUCAAGUGAGCAAUUAGCAAAGGUCAGAGCUGUGUUAAUUUCCUUCAAGCACCUUUGCGAAAGUUAGAAGACAAAAUGUACCCUCUCAAUGUUGUGGGGACCUGCAGGUAGUUUCUGCCUCAGUAAGCAAGAGCACUGAAGGAGACACCUUCCACACACAUCUUGAGCAUCACUGAAUUUGGAGAACACAAGAAAGGAGGCUGUGCACCUAAUGUCAAAUGGGGAAAUACUCCCAGCUGCUUCUUUUCAGAUGAUAUCUAGGAAAAUGUGAUAAUUGAUCUUGUGGUUUUUGUUCACUAUAAGGAAGUUACAGCCCUGCCUGAUACCAGAGGAGCAGAGAACAGCUGUGUCAUUUUAUAACAUGCAGUGGUGUGGUAUUUUAUAUGCACAACAUGUGAGGCUUUGCUCCUAUGCUAAAUUACUCACAACCCCUAUGGAGCAGCUUUAAAUCAGAGUUCUUUUUGUGAGCUUGGGCUCUCUGGAAGUAAUCUUCCGUAUCUCUGUGAAACAUUUCAGUCAUGUCUUCAAAUCUCCUGUCAGCAAUUCUCCUAUCUGUGAAUAAAUAGCAUUCUGACCUGUCUUCUACCACAACAACAACAGAAAGUCAACCAGGCCUCUGCAAAACACGAGUGGAAACUACAUCCAUCUUCUACAUUACCAUCAGCAUGAGUCAAGAGCCUCAAGCUGUCUCUUAGAACUUAACAGUGUGACGAUUCAGCAAAAGAGCUCUCCUAAUAGGGAAAAUACAACUCAUUAUCUAGCUAAUUAAAAGCAGCCUCUACUCCCCCUUCUUACCAGCCUACCUUCCUGUAGGGUUGGACAGGCUUCAAAUAGUUUUUAAAGGGGUAGAUUUUUUUGUGCUUUUGGAUACAAUCUAAAGAGCAUUGAUUUGCAGAGGAGCAAGUUAAGGGCUGUUCCUAAGUCUCUUUUUCUGAGAAGUUAAUCACAAGGAUGGUAUCAUUCCUGGGUAGGAAUUCUAUCUAAGGGAAAAUGCCUUUUAAUAUUUUUUUUUUUUAAUUUACAGGUCUUACUUACACCCUUUUCUUACAAAAAUAUGUUUUUUAAAAAAGGAAUUUAAAAUGCAUUAAUAAAAUUAUUAUUUUUAAAAGAGUGAUCCUUCAAAAGUGAAAUAGAUAAUAAUAAUGACAUUGGUGAUCGUGUGCUUCAAAUUCUUGUAUUCUAUUUUGCUGUGAUUUGAGAUAUGCUGUUCACUAAUUGAGCAUGUUUCAAAAUCAUUUCUGUGGUCAGUGAACAGUAAUUAAUGCAUUUGCUUUUGCUUUCUUCCAUUAUGUAGGAAUGCAAGCUGUGUUUAACUAACAUUAACUCUUUAAGUUAGAUUAAAAUAAGCAAAUGAAAUGCAGUCGUUCAUUUCAACAGACUCAGAAAUUUAAUGUGCUGCUUUGUUCCCUUGCCUUCUUUUUCUGUUGAAAACAAUUUAAAAAUCUUGUAAUGUCUAAUAGAAGAAAUAUCAAAACCUUAGCAGGGGUGCUUAUAGCAUCUGCAGAGGUAUGAAGGGUAGUGAAAGCUCACAGCAGGCACUCUACUAUAGAUAAGCUGGUAAAUUAUUUUUUACUACCUUAGGUACCUUGCUUGACUACCUGAGAAAAACAUGUUUGCACUAGUUUAGUUUUUUGCUCUGCUGAGACCCAAGUUUGUAUCCCUGCUGACAGAAUUGACCUUAUUGCUGUCAAACCUUGCUGGUUUCACACCCCAUGUAAAUUAAUGAAUGGUAUUAAACUGUCAAGGAAUGUCCACAAGGCUUGUGCAGUGUUUUAGGGUCCCCUACUUGCUCUUGUACCCCCAGGGUAUCAGUCCUGAAGGAUGCUCUGAGUAGAGGUGGUUCCAGCUUUUCACUGUGCUUCACAGUUAAGUGUCUCUCCACCAGAUUCCAUCAUCUCUCAACAAAGGCUGAAAUGAAAUUAAUGAAAUCUCAUUAGAGAAUUGCUAUUCACUUUCACAGAAGGGAAGAUUAAAAACUAUGUCUAUACACAUAAAGAGAGAACCUUCUAUGUUAGCAUACUCAAACUUGUUUCUCCUCGUUGGCCUCAGAGCCUCCUACAUGGUGAGUACAGCUCCACAAGCUCUUAGCUGCUCCAGACAUCCUGGAAAACAUCCGUUCUGUCAAGACCUUGCCAAAGUACAUGUCAUCAAUGGCUAUAACUAGAGUUCAUGCCAGUGAAGACAUCUGUGAGCUAAGGCUGUAAUUACAUACUUUUAGCUCCUGCAGGCAGUGUAUCUCAGCUGUUCAACCCAUGCCAGAAAGGGAUGCUGGACCUCCUAUUCACUGAUACCCUUCCUGACCUGCUAUGUAAAAUAAUGUGUCACAGAGAAUACAUUUCAGUUACUUAAUAGGGGAAAUUAUUCACUCCUAAACUGCCAAAAAUCUCUGCCUAGAGGGUGGGAUAGCAGACGGCCUUCUGUUAGAGCCAAAAUUGAUUUUGCCAGAACAUUUCCUUCAUCCCUUAUCCUUAGCACUGUUUCCAGAACUUGUCCUACCUGUUGUCCACUGCAUAAACCAACCUGAUUUUUUCUUUGGGCUGAGCCAAGGUUGAAGGAACUUGGAAUCAACUUAAUCAGGCAGAGCUGAUGUUUCCCAGCUUGCUGAUGUGCUGUGCUAAUGAGAUGUUAUUGCCCAAAGUAAAGAAAAGCAUCUGUUUCUUACCUGUAAAGAAAGACUAAGGGUUGCUUCUAUUUGCUUUAAGGUGAGUUUGACAAGCUUGUCUUCCUUCUUAGAAAAGUUCACUGCAUGUAUUUUGCUCUUAGCCUCUUGGAGAGGCCCAAAUAGAAUUCAAUUCAUGUGUCUAGAAAAUUCUGAAUGUACUUUCCUGUUCCAAGUGUUUACACUUGAAUAGAAAGAUUACUACUCUGCUUUGUAGGGAUUUCCUGUAAGAUAUCAUCUAUGUAUGAUCCAUGUUUGUAAAUGCAAAUAAUACAUUAUCACUAAAAAUAAAUAUAUCAGCAGAAUAAAUGUUUGAGAGACAUGUAAGAGAUACAUGGAAUGAAGAGUGUGUUUAGAUUUCAUGAAGUUUUAAUUAAGCAAACAUCUGGAUAUACAAAAAAUCACAGCCAGUUAAUUCCAGCAGCCCACAGAGUCUUCAAGCCCUUGAGAAUAUAGGAAUUAGAUUUUUAAGAGGCUCUCUUCUUUUUGUAUACUGCAAGCUGUUGGAAAAAAUUAUUUAUUAAUUGCUUAUUAACUAAGCAGAGGAAUUAUCUUUCCUGUGCCAGCAACAUGACAAUAGUUGCCCCAAAGUUUUGCUAGCCUGGAAAAUGUUACGCCCAUGCAAAGCAAAUUGGUUAUUUAUUUUCACCUUUUAAUUUUUCAUGAGUGUUGUGUAUGUAUAGUUCUUGCCAAAAUGCCUUUCUCAGAAAAUGGAAACCUUUCUUCAUUAAUAUUUGUAUUUUUUAACUGAAUGCCAAGCAUCUAGAUUGUAUCAGAACUGAGUCCCUUAAAUAAAAUCCCUUCAAAUAAAACAAGCAGAAAAAAUCUAUUCAUCUCAAGGAGGUUAAAUCACAUAUAAAUAGGUUGAGAUUACAGGAUGGAUCUUAGUGAAGGGGAAGCUUAUCUGAGAAGCAGGAGAUAAGCAUAAAGCCUCCAGUCAUAGUGACAGUAAAAAGCUUCUGAAAUAAGAAAAGAUCUUUUUAAGUCAAGAUACUGGUUGUGACUGACAGUCUGAAAGAGGAAAAAAAAUUAAACUGCCAAGUAUAAGGAUUGUUAAGAGGGAAGAGGAGAAAGGAAGAAAAUAUAUAGCUAAGGAAAAGCAAAAGAAGUAUGGAGUUAUUAUUUCUGUAUUUUAUAAGCCCUCAGGCACAUCUUUUCAGUGUUUAUGGGGAGUACAAUAACCAUGUAUUUAAUACUAUGUACAAUACUGAUAUAUAUAAUACUCACAAUAAAUGUGGUUAUUCAAACCUG